AGCAGUCCUAAUUCAUUUGAUGGUUGCUCUUACAUGGAUAACUGUGGCAAUUCUAGAGCUAAUACAUGCAUCAAAAUCCGACUUCUUGGAAGGGUUGUGAUUAUUAGAUACAGAACCAACACAGGCACUGCCUGGUUGCCAGCUGACUCACAGUACCAUCAUGAAUCAUGUGGCAUCUGCCGAUGAUGCAUCAUUCAAGUUUCUGACCUAUCAGCUUCCGACGGUAAGGUAUUGGCUUACCGUGGCUAUGACGGGUAACGGAGAAUUAGGGUUUGAUUCCGGAGAGGGAGCCUGAGAAAUGGCUACCACAUCUAAGGAAGGCAGCAGGCGCGUAAAUUACCCAAUCCUGACAUAGGGAGGUAGUGACAAGAAAUAACAAUACAGGGCAUCCAUGUCUUGUAAUUGGAAUGAAUAGAAUCCAAACCCCUUUGUGAGUAUCAAUUGGAGGGCAAGUCUGGUGCCAGCAGCCGCGGUAAUUCCAGCUCCAAUAGCGUAUAUUAAAGUUGUUGCGGUUAAAAAGCUCGUA
rnacentral:rRNA from 1 species